rnacentral:lncRNA from 1 species
GUUUCAGCAGGAGGAAUUGUGCGAGACAAAGUUGGGAAUUGGACCUUUGGCUCUAAUAGAUUCUUAGGGAGUUGUUUAGUGUUUGAGGUUGAAUUGUGGGGCAUCUUAGAUGGCUUAGACAUCUUGAUCGAUCGAGGCUAUGAUAAUGUGCUGGUUCAAACGGAUAGUCUUGAAGUGGCUAUUAUCGUAUAGGAGGGACUCACAGAAUGAUCUAACUCUAGUUUGAUUAGGA